AGCGUCUUCGCCAAGCCCUGGCCGACCCCUGUCGCGGCCCACACACGUCCCCGCCACGACCAUCAGGCAGGGCGGCACUCCUUCCUUCAUUAACGGUAACGAGAUGGUAUUAGCAAGUGUGCGGUAACCAGGUGUGAAGCAGUAACCUUUAUCACCCGGCCACGCUGUCUGGAAACUGCCAGAUACUCGUCUAAGUUUUGGGCGGCGUGUGCUUUUUUUUUCUACGUUUCUUGUCCUAAUGGAGAAUAAAAACGGCGAGCAUUUAAGACAAAUGAUAAGUGAGGCGAGACAGGUGUGCCGUUACGGGGCGUCUGCGCGGCGGCCGUGGGACCCGCAAAGAUCCGGCUUAUCAGGAGCGGACAGCUGGCCUCCACCAGCCUCGGGACGCCCUUGCCGUGCUCCUCGCUCCUGGCCAGCACACCCGCGCACCCGCCUUACCGUCCACAUCGGCCGGGAACAGGCUGGCGAGAGGACCCGUAAGAGCGGCGCGGUGAAGGCGACGAGGCUGCCAGGCCGGACUCCUGUCGAGGCUGUCAGCGGCCCCGCCCUUACACCGCACCUCGGGAUGUCCGGAUCGACUCCCUUGGGAUUUCCGCAUGCCGUCCCUGAGAGCACAAAGUAUUUGCACGACGCAGACGGUGCUGGUGUUAGUCAGUCGCCACCAGCGGCCCCAGGCACACCUCUCCGCCCUGGCUGCAUUAUGGUCUCUUGAUCGGAGGUGGUCGCCGCUCACUCACGGACACAAAUGGAGGAGAAUCAAAAGAAAAACUGGCCUGCAGAGAACUAUGGCCGCUUCCUAUCGCUAGAUUUCUCCCCGGCAUUCUCCUCCGCUCUCUCUCUUCGUCUGCCAUUUUCUGCUCCCUGUCUACUAUAACAUCUACACUGCACCCCCAUCAGGUGGCAGGGUGACAGUGUUCCGUGUCAUUUUCGCUGCCAGCUGGCUACACAGGAGCCAUGACACCAAUGCCACUGACAUACACACUCACACAGGCACGUAAAAAGAAAAGAAAAAAAUCCAUCGACUCACUGUAACGCCUUUCCAACCUUUAGCAUUGCCUUGACACACUUACCCGACAAUAACUUAUGUCACCUCUCUCUCUCUCUCUCUCUCUCUCUCUCUCUCUCUCUCUCUCUCUCUCUCUCUCUUGCAAAAAUCAUAAGAAAAAACUGUAUCAUUUUCUCAAUAAAUCAGGGCACAGCUCCCCAACUCCCUUUAAAAGUGUAAGAACAAGG